rnacentral:misc_RNA from 1 species
CCAAUAGCGUAUAUUAAAGUUGUUGCAGUUAAAAAGCUCGUAGUUGAAUUUCGGGACCAAUCUGCCGGUCGUGCCUCCGGUACGCACUGGUUUUAUUGGUUUCUCCCUUCUGACGAACCAUGAUGUCAUUAAUUUGGUGUCAUGGGGAAUCAGGACUGUUACUUUGAAAAAAUUAGAGUGUUUAUAGCAGGCUCACGCUUGAAUAUAUUAGCAUGGAAUAAUGAAAUAGGACGUUUGACCCUAUUUUGUUGGUUUCUAGGAUCGACGUAAUGAUUAAUAGGGAUAGUUGGGGGCAUUAGUAUUCAAUUGUCAGAGGUGAAAUUCUUGGAUUUAUUGAAGACUAACUACUGCGAAAGCAUUUGCCAAGGAUGUUUUCAUUAAUCAAGAACGAAAGUUAGGGGAUCGAAGACGAUCAGAUACCGUCGUAGUCUUAACCAUAAACUAUGCCGACUAGGGAUCGGAUGAUGUUAAUUUUUUAAUGACUCAUUCGGCGCCUUACG